UUUUUUUUUUUUCUUGGCUCUCCCCCUCUCUUCUUCACAGGUGGCGACUCCUCCCCAGCCAUGGAGGAAUUAUUAAAGCACCUCACUGAGGUGAGCAUUAGGCAGCAGCAAAUAGUCGAACACAUGGCCGCCCGACAAGGAGAGAUCACUGUGCUCCGCACCGCCGCCGCCCAGCGGGUUCCGCUGCCAGACCCCCGCAUUCGAGCCACAAUGCUUUUGCCGAAGAUGACGGUGCACGACGAUGUGGAGAGCUAUCUUCAAAUGUUCGAAUCUACGGCGAACCAGGAGGGCUGGCCUCAGGAAGAAUGGGCGCGUGUGCUGGCACCGUUACUAACGGGGGAACCACAACGGGCUUAUUUCUCAAUGCCAGCGGAUCUGAGGGAUUCCUACGAGGAGCUGCGGAAAGAGAUCCUGUCCCGCGUGGGCCUAUCAUCUAUCGCAGCAGCACAAUUGUUUCACGACUGGGAAUAUAACAGCCGGUUGCCAGCCCGCACCCAAGCCGCCGACCUAUCCCGUUUCUCGCGGCACUGGCUGCUUGCCGGAGAUCCCAGCGCCGCCCAAGUGGCCGAACGUGUCGUCGUGGACCGUCUUCUCCGUGCCCUUCCUCGUCCGAUUCGGCAAGCGGCCGGCAUGCGGAACCCGCUCACCGUGGGAGAUCUCGUGGAGGCCAUCGAGCUGGCGGAGGCGGCUCAACGUCGCGAGGCUGGGGAGCGAGCGCCGCCGUUUCCCCGAAGGGUGCACCAGGAGUGACGCUCGCCGGAGGGCAUCUCGCGACCAGUGAACAGGCCGGCGGUUCCCGGCCCCCAGGAUGAGCCGAUGCCCACGGAUCCUCCUCGUUCACCCCAACAGGCCUGGCUGGCAGGUUGCAUCGUCCACCGUGAUCCCCCGCUGGAAGCACCACGAGUCGAGGUGAAGGUGAAUGGAGGACCCUACCAAGCUCUCCUUGACUCGGGCAGCGCGGUCAGCCUGGUCCAGCCGACAGUCUUUCCCCCGCAGGUGGAGUCAAGAGCCUGCCUACCCAUCACGUGUGGUCCCUGCUCGGCACGUCACCAUUUAGGCUGCCCCAGGCUCCUGGCCCGUCGAGGUGGGGAUCAUGAAGGAUUUGCCCAUCCCCGUGCUCCUCGGAAGAAACUGGCCGGGUUUUGAUCGCCUGCUCGCCACCGCCACCCAACCUGCCAGCGCUGUUGGGAACCGCCGAAGACGAAGGUUCAACCGAGGUUUCCGGACGACGUCAACCCCGCGGCCUACUCGACAUCGCGAAAGAAGCCUGGGAACAACAGCCGGCCGCCCAUCGGUCCACCAUCGAACACAUCCGUGAGAUGAGGGAGCGGAUCGACAGGGUCAUGCCAAUCGUCCGGGAACACCUACGAAGGCCCAGCAGCGCCACUACAACCGGGCAGCCCAGCCACGGGAGUUUCAGCCAGGAGAUCACGUCAUGGUCCUAGUUCCGACGGCCGCCUGCAAAUUCCUAGCAAAGUGGCAAGGGCCCUACACGGUGACCGAGCGGGUGGGGCCUGUGACCUACCGAGUGCGGCAGCCCGGAAGGAGAAAAGAGGAUCAACUAUACCAUAUCAACCUCCUGAAGACUGCCUUCUCCACCCCCAGCGGCCACUGGCAUUAUCGGGUUCUCCCCUUCGGCCUGCACGGGGCCCCAGCCACUUUCCAGCGGAUGAUAGACAUCCUGCUGAGGCCCCACCAGUCCUAUGCGGCGGCCUACCUGGAUGAUGUCGUCGUCCACUCGGAGAGCUGGGAGGAUCACCUGGAGCGGUUGCCGAGGGUGCUUGUUGAGCUGCGCAGGGCUGGACUGACCGCCAAUCCCCGGAAAUGUCACCUGGCCCUCUACGAAGCGAAGUACCUGGGCUUCCAGGUGGGCCGGGGCAAACCGCAAGAGAAGAAGGUGGCAGCAAUCCUCUCGGCCCCACGGCCCACCUCAAAAACCCAGGUACGUGCCUUUUUGGGAUUGGCGGGUUACUAUCGCUGCUUUAUCCCUAACUUCUCCUCCUUAGCAGCUCCCCUGACAGACCUGACCAGGAAGGGGCAGCCGGAGAAGAUUCCCUGGGGUCCCACUGAAGACGAGGCUUUCCAGCGAGUGUAGGUGGCACUCACCUCGGAGCCGGUACUGCGAGCCCCAGACUUUAACUGCCCCUUCCUGUUGCAGACGGACGCCUCCAACACCGGGUUGGGAACCGUUCUCUCCCAGGUGCAGGACGGUGAGGAACACCUGGUGAUCUUCAUCAGCCGAAAGCUGACCCCAGCGGAACAACGGUACGCUGCCGUCGAGAAGGAAGUGUUUGCCGUCAAGUGGGCAGUCCUGGAGCUCAGGUAUUACCUCCUAGGCCAAAAAUUCACGCUCAUUACUGACCAUGCUCCAUUACAGUGGAUGGCCCGAGCCAAAGACACGAACACCAGGGUCACCCGCUGGUUCCUGGCGCUCCAGGACUUCCACUUCGUCGUGCGACAUCGGGCAGGGAUGGCCAACGCUAACGCCGAUGGACUCUCACGGAUCUGGGCAGCUUUCGCAGGUGGGAUAACACACAGAAAACUGCUGGAGCAUCAGAAACCAGAUAAGAAAAAAACAACAGGAGAGAAAUGGAGGCCAGAAAUGAGACACAAACCAGUGAAACACAAGAGAAAAACAGACGGACGCUUGUUAGAUGUGACAGUAUGGAGGGAAUAAAACCACACUUCUCUCGUGAUCCAGACGGACCUGUAAACUUUAAUUCUGGAGAAACUUCAGCAUGUUCUGAAGAACACACAACAUCCCUGAGACAGCAGCAGCUGAAGACAACACCAUCAUGAUCACAGACUCCAUCCAUCCACACUACAGUCUGCUCAGAUCUCAGGGAUGUGCUGACAUUUUGAGCGGCAGGGGCACAAGUGGGAAAAAAAAAACACUUCUCAUAUUUACUUUAAUUUUAAAGAACCUUUAACAUCUGAAAAGCCUUUUUGUUUCACAAAAGGUUCUUUGUGGUGAAAGAAGGUUCUUCAGAUUAUAAAAAGUAUCCCUGCUAGAAAUUUUACGUUCCCAGAACGUCCCCGCUGGCAUCAAGGACGUCACCUGGUAACUUUCCCAGAACGUUCUGAGAAGGUCAUGAUGUCGAGUUCUUUAAAGGGUUGUGGGACGUUAUUUGGGGGACCUUAGCAGAACUUUCAGGACGUUCUCGGGAUGUUUAGGGGACCAUAUUUUAUUUGUAAAUUUGAUGUUCCCAGAACAUUUCAAAAUAGUCACAAUGUCAAGUUCUUUUAAGGGUUGGGGCAGUGUUGGGUAAGCUACUUUCAUAAAGUAAUUAAUUACAGUUACUAAUUACAUCAUCAAUAUUGUUUUUAAAUUACUCUGUCUGAAAAGAAACUUAGUUGCUCAAUAAGUAACUUAAUUAUUCAAAUCGCUAAUUAGGCUACAUCUUAAAACCCCUAUAAACCUUAAUAGAAAUUAAACUGUUUAUUCUUUCAAUUUGAGUCUAACAUAGAAUAGUUUAGCCUUUUAGCUUUAACACAACUGUAAUACUUGAACAUUUUUAUAAAAAGAAUUAGCAUUCUUUGGUUAACAAAUAUAAAUUACUCAAUAACAAAUAAGCUUAAAUGUUAAACAAUACAUUUCAGUUUGGCAAGAUUUUCAGGAAAAGCCCAACUAGUAAAACCCAUACAGGUUUAUGUAAAAAUAACACGUUAACUAAUGUAGGUAAGAAUAAAUUACAGAAAUGAUCUUCUGUGCUGAAUAAAGCCAUGUCAGAUCGUGCUGUUCUUAUGAGGUAAAUUCCUCAUAGCCAGGGGCGUGGGAAGUGGGGGUGCUGAAGCACCCCCUGUUUUUUUCUGUGGGAAACUGUUUAAUUGUUGGGAAUAUAAAAAGUGCAAAUAGCCAUGUUGUUGGUAGAGGCUAACACUAACUCCACCCACAAACGCAUGAUUGGGAUAGUGAAAUUUGCAAAAGACAGUCAUCAAUUGUCUGAUUCAGUGGCGCAGAUGGUAAAGCGCGUGCUACUGUACUUUUGACACAAUCGACCGGGGUUCGAAUCUGCCCUUUGGCGAACCUUUUUUUCUCUCUUUUUAAAUUUCAAAUCACAUCACAUCAGAAGAGCAUUUAUUUUUUUAAUAAAAAUGAAGGAAAUAAUAAAAAAAUUGAACAAACCAUCGGGAAGGGUUACACCCAAGGUGUAGGGAGAGCUUUUGUCCCAAUAAGGUGGCAUCCAUUUAAUAAUUUGAAAUAAAAUUAAGAAAUUACACUCAAUAAGUUGCAUACUAUUUUAUAAUGUAUUACAAUGCAGAGGUGCAGAUAAUUGCCACUAUUUGCAAUAAGUAAUGUUUUUCUCUAAUAAUGUUUUUUUCGCCACAAUUAAUCAUACCCUUUUAUUCAAUAUUUACAAUAAGUAAUUAGCAGGAUCCUGCUAUUUUAACAGAAUCUAAAGCUAUUUGCACUGUGUAAAUAGCAUAUCACUAAAGAAUACCGCUAUUUUCACUUAGUGUAAAUAGCCUCUAUCGCGACACGCAACAACCCCCCACAGCACCCCCAACAUAAAACAUCUUCCCGCGCCCCUGCUCAUAGCAGGUCUUCUUUCAAAAAUGAUGAAAAUUAGAUGAAUCUUGAUUAUUAUUUUUAUCUAGGUGUGGGCGUUUGCGUUGGGUGAGUGACCAUACACACACACACACACACACACACAGCGUAUUUUUCAAUUAAAGACAGCUUAUGGAUUUAAUAUGGGCUGCUUUUGGUGCUUGUGUAACUGGUCUGUUCUCUUCCCUGUGUUGUGUUGUGGAUCAAUAAAGCUUGUGAUUCAAGAACUCUUCUCUCAGCCCAUUUAUUCACUGAGAAAACAGGAUAACACAGAAUAAUAACAGAUGGAAUUACGGAGCUACCAAACACACAACUUACCGCUGGCCUUUCACACAUGAACUGACUGAGAGACUGAUGCAACAGGGCAGUGAGUUCUGCGGAAUCGCCGCGAGUGUCGCGAGUCCAGGGCCGCGAGCUCCUCCGGUCUGCCGCCGUCCGCGGCUUUCUUCAGCCCGCCGUUCGCGGGGAAAUUGUCGCCGCCGUCCGCGGCUGUCUUGAGCCCGCCGUUCGCGGGAGAAUCGUCGCCGCCGGAUGCCGCUGACUCAAGCCCGCCGGAUGCCGCUGACUCAAGCCCGCCGGACGCCGCUGACUCCAGUCCAGACCCGGGUCCCAGUGGAGCAAGUCCACCUGUGACGGCCAGGAGUGCCGUCUUGUCGUGCCCACAGGAACAUUUUAACGAACCUUGUCAUGUCUUGUCCAUGGAGACUUGUCGUGGAAGUGGAGGCGGUUGCUGAGGGACCUUGUGAGGGCCCCUGACUCCCUGUCAUGCCCAGAAGAAGCCUCAGCUUCCGAGCUAGCCCAGGAGGGCUUCCUGUUCCUGUGGGCUGUCCUGUCUGUGUGUCUGGCCUGUCCUGUCCCUGUCUUGUCCCUGUCUGUUUAGCCCUGGAGGGCUAUCCGGUCCUGUCUGUGUGUCUGGCCAGUGUCGUGUCCUGUCUGUUAAGCCCUGGAGGGCUCCUGAUACCCCCUGGAUUCCCCAAGGAAAUUUUGGGGGGGGGGGUAGUAGAGCUCCGGGUGGAGUGGCCGGGCCGAGGGACCCGAGGCCACGGCCACGAAGACCAUCUUUGACCGCCUGUGCUCCCAGCCCUGCCUGGGCCUCCGUCUGUGUGUUACGCUCUGGAGGUCCCCGUCCUGUGUUCAUGUCUGUCCUGAGGGGCCUCCAGAGUGCCCCCCUCCCUGGUGGAACUGUUACGGCGCGGGUCGCGCCUUUCGGGAGUCAGGACUGUCAUGUCCUCUGUCGUGUGUCAUGUGUUCCCGCCUCUUGUGUCCAUAUUUGGUCUUGUUCCUGUCCUUGUUAAGUGUGAUUAUUAGUUAAGUCUUGUCCAGCUGUGUUUCGUCUUAUUAUCAGUAAUUGUCAUGUGUAUUUAGUUCCUGCCUGUUUAGUUAGAUUUCGUCUGGUCUACUCGUUAUUCCCCGGUGUUCCUGUCUGUGUGAACCUUGCCUUGUCUUGCCCUGUCCUGAUGUCCUCAUUAAAGACUGUUAUUUUGAAGUUA